rnacentral:misc_RNA from 1 species
UGGCUUUGUUGCUGAUAUCCGCCGAAUGAAUGUUGCUCUCACACGUGCCAGAAGGGCAUUAUGGGUAUGGUAUUUUACUUUUUUCAAGUAUUCUCUUUCAUUAUUAAAAUUUUUGGUUGCACUAUUACACUCAAGUCAUUCAUUCCCAACAAGUGCACACAUGCACCUUAAAACCAAGUGCUGGACUGGAGUUGUUUUAAAUUUUAAACUGAUCUGCCAACAGGUUAUGGGGAAUGCAAAUUCGCUGGUCCAAUCUGAUGAUUGGGCUGCAUUG